rnacentral:rRNA from 1 species
UACGUAGGGUGCGAGCGUUGCCCGGAUUUAUUGGGCGUAAAGGGCGCGUAGGCGGCCACGCACGUCCGUUGUGAAAUCGCCCGGCUCAACUGGGCGGGGUCAGCGGAUACGGUGUGGCUCGAGCAAGCUAGGGGGCAAUGGAAUUCCCGGUGUAGUGGUGGAAUGCGUAGAUAUCGGGAGGAACACCAGUGGCGAAGGCGGUUGCCUGGAGCUUUGCUGACGCUGAGGCGCGAAAGUGUGGGGAGCGAACAGG